rnacentral:rRNA from 1 species
CACGUAGGCGGACUUUUAAGUCAGAUGUGAGAUCCCAAGGCUCAACCUUGGAACUGCAUUUGAAACUGGGAGUCUAGAGAUCAGGAGAGGUUAGCGGAAUACCGAGUGUAGAGGUGAAAUUCGUAGAUAUUCGGUGGAACACCAGUGGCGAAGGCGGCUAACUGGACUGAUACUGACGCUGAGGUGCGAAAGUGUGGGGAGCAAACA